GACAUCGAGGCAGCCAAGUCAGCACAACUAAAGACACUCAAGAAAGAGGACUCCAGGGCUGCUGCCGAAAGUGACACACGCAGUGGGAUCAGUGUGUUUGAAAGACUUAAAUAUGCAUACGCUGGGGGAUUCAACCGUGGCUGAAGAGAGGGGGAACCACACUGGAGUGACUCAGAGAAAACCCACUAAAAACACAGGUACAUCUCAGUUAUGCCAAUGUGAAAACCAAGGAAAUGCAAGAAGGAAUCCCUCAGAAGGCUCGUGUUAUGACCUUCGCGACCUUUAUGCACGCCCAUCACUUCUGUGUACCUACCAGCAUCACUACAGUCCCCUGGAGUAUGUACUAAGUCUGCUUCAGACCCGAUGGCUGUCGAGUCUCACUCGAGGAUGGAGGGUCCUGCCACACAAGGCUUUAGAAAAAACAAGUUAUUAAAAUAACGUCUUCUCUUUCCAGCAGAAUAAUGAUAAACAGUGAAUAUUCAUGUGUGUUUUCUGCGGUGAUACAAUGCUUUUUUGGUGAUGUAUGCGGCCUCUGUGUUUUAGGGGAUAAGUGUCAGUAGUGUCUGUCCUGGUAUUUUGGACAUAAUAUUACACAAUAAUCAAAAGCACAGAUAUAUUUAUGGGUUUGUACCUUUGGUGUUAAGCAAGGAAAAAUAGCACAUGGACCUCGGUAAUGGUAAUAAUUAGCCGGUUGUGCCAUCCUCUUCCACUUCUGCCAGUCAUUCAGGGAACGUGACAGUGUCCUCCUGGAACUCUCACUGACUCACCGGGCGACCACGUGCUUAGCAGUUGAUCUCGUGUAAGCCCUCAGAUGUCCGGGUUUAGGACUAUUUCCUCAUUUUCUAGCCUCUCGGAAUUGCUGUGGAUGUAUGACUUCUGUCUAAGCCUGGCUGUGUUCUUGCAUUGAGACCCUGUGGAAUAGCAGCUGAAGGGUCAGUGCAGUGAACAUUUAAUGCAAGCAGGAGUUCAGUGUUUGAGAAAGGAGCGAAUCCCACACGCUUCAAAAUUCUACCCGCAGUCAGCACCGACCCUGCAAGGGCUCAGCAACUGUUAAGCACUGCCCUGAUCUCCAGCUCCGGGGAUGGAGACCUUGGAGAUGUGGGGCCUGCUGGCAGGAACUGCUAAAACUCGGGUGUCAGGCACACAAACAGGCCAGAGCACAGUGAGGUGAGCGCCAGCAGACGGACCCGGGGCGCAGAGAAAGAGCCCAGGAAGGGAUCCAGGCUCGCAUCUUGAUGGUUGAGGGAAGCAAGGAAAAAGUCACUCUUCAGAUACUGUAGGUUUUAUCGUACUAUAAUGGUUUUUUUAAAUGAAUAUUUAAUCAACUGGAAUUGUACACCAGGCAGUGUGCCAGGCAACAGGAAAAUCUAUAAAAGCAUCAGUUUUGGAGUUGGGUGGAUAAAAUUACAACUCCAUUUCUAUCUAUAGGUGUGACCUUGGGCAAGUUGCCUGACCUUUCCAAAUCUAUUUUUAUUUUGAAUUGUUAUCAUUUUACUUGUAGAAAGAGGUUUAUAAAAACAUCCAUACCUCACAG
rnacentral:lncRNA from 1 species